CUAAAACUGAAAAGAUGAAAAACGCCAUUUUGCAAAAUGACAGAAACCCAGUUCCACACUUCCACUACAUCUACUCCACCUCAAGCCGGCACCUUCUACUCACGAAUCCGACCACUGUACCGUCGGACAAACCACCGGAUUUCCACACCAUCAACAUGUCCUCAUCCCAUUCUUCAACUCCAUACCAACAUCUGAAGAAAAUGGGAAAGAUUUUGCAUGCUCGAAUGCAGCGAACCACGAACAGUGCUGCCCAAAUAUCGGUGUCGGCAUUGAGAAUCACGGUAGCUCACCAUCACCAUUACCUCCUACUCAUUAUGGCGGACAACAACAUAUAUGGGUCUUCGUCAAUUUAGCUCGAAUCUACCAUGGAAUGAACCUGUGAGCAGGAAAUACUGCUCGACCCCAUUUCUAUUGAAGGCUCAAAUAUGCUCCAGUCUACAAAUCAACCCGGGGGAACUGAAAUUCAUCAUCAAAUGACACUGGGUACUCAUUCAAUUGCAGAAAUUACAGCUCUUGUUUGUCAAAUUUUAGUAAGUUUUGCUCUGUAUAUUCCGGUUCUUUUUAGCUUCUGUUUAAUUAUUUCCCAUUAUCAUUGCUGUUGACUCAUAAUACAUGUAGAAUUAGGUGCAAUGCAGAGUAUCAUAGAUUGCAUUGUAGAGGGUGGUGAGGUGGUUUGAGUGAUGCUGGGAUUUGGUGGUCUAGGUGGUGGGUGGUGGUCGGUUUGUGUGGUAGAAGAUGGUGGGGAUGCUAGGGAUUUUGUUUGCUGGAGAAGAGAGAAUGAAUUCCAAACCAAAAGCCUUUUGAAUUUUUACGUUUUAACAAACAUAUUUUCACAAUGACAAACCUAACGUAUUUUCAACAAUUUCAAAACACAAACUCAAAAUACAAAAUCCAAAAUGAAAUUUAAAACAGAAAAUAGAAAAUAGAAACGCCCCCUAACUUUUGGCAAUGUUUUUCAAAACGUUGCAAAAUGCCAUAUUUUACAACGUUCAAAAAACGUUGCAAAAGGCUAUACUUUGCAACGUUUUUGAUACUUUGCAACAUUUUUGGAUGUUGCAAAAAAAUUCACAAUAAACUAAAUGCUCUUGACCCGACCAAAAAUAACAAUCCAUCAAAAUUAGGUUUAAGAAUCCAUUUUCCUUUUAAUCUCAUAUGUGUUGCCUCCCUUCAUCUUCCUCUCUUUCUUCAAUCCACAAUUUCUCUAUCAUGUCUUAAUCAUGGUAAGAGGUGGGUAGUAUGGCUUUUGGAGACUUGGUUGUGGUAGGGAUGGGGAAGCUUGGCUGCGGUGGUGGAGGUGAAGGUGGGAAUUUGGCGAUGUAGGUAAUUUCAACCUUGUCCUUCAAAAAUUUUGGAGGUAUUUUCAAAUAACUUCUUAAUCUCUCUUCUGAGUUCUGAAUGAAAAGAAUUUCUCGCUCCAGGGCUCUGACUGAGAACAAUGGCGAUGUCAAGGAGAACAAAGGGCAUAGCAAUGGCGACAAGUUUCAUGAAAUCCCUAAUAAUCCAAAGAUCAUCCACUCUCUCUGCCAACUUACGAUGCCUCAGUGGUGCUGUUAGCAGCAAGGUUGUCACCUCCUACACCGCCAAAUGGAUGCAGGUAAUCUCUCUAUAUACAUAUGUAUGUAGGUACAUAGCAGCGGCGAAUCCAGGAUCUGAAUCCAGCUAGGACUGGUUGAUUGUUGAUUGUUGACCAUCGAUCGUUGAUCGUCAACGAUCGUAAUAGUCCGAUCGUUUAUUAAAUGGUUACAUAAUAUUAAAGUUUAUUCAAUAAAUACAUAAAUGAACUAAAACGUCAAAAUCGUAUACAUAUGGAAAUAUACUUCAAUACAACCCAAAAUAGUAAAAAAAUAUACAAUACAACCUUACUCAAUUACUCUGUAACUAUAAACUUAGACAACUGCAUUCUACGGGGUCUCAUGAUUUGAAAACGUUGCAAUAUUGCCUCAUUCUCAAGCUUUUUAAAAAUAGAUUUCUCCAGGUAAACCACCAAAUUGUCAUUCAACCAUUCAUCUUCCAUUUUGUUGCGCAAAUCACUUUUGAUUAGAUUCAUAGAAGAAAAUGCCCUUUCGACACUUGCAAUUGCCACAGGUAAUAUCAAAGCCAAGGUGAGCAGCCUAUAAACCAAUGGAAAAUAACAGGAACUUCUAGUUUCAACCAACUUUUGAGCUACACAAGAUAUGCUAUUGAGAUUAAAGAAAGAUUCGUCCAUUCUCACAAGUAUAAGAAACUUAUCAAGCUGAAGUCUAAGUAAUAAAAGCUCUUCACUAUUGAAGUCCAAAGGAUAGAACUUAGCAAGACGUAGCAAUUUAUCCUUAUCAAAAGUUUCAAAUGAAUCUUUUGGACAUAAACAUGAAAUGCAAGUAAAGAGCUCAGUAGUUGUUUCUGAAAAACGAUCAUUCAACUGUUGCAAGAUGGAGUCUAUCGCAUGACAAUACAAAUCAACAUAAAAGCGAUGAAAAUAAGUCACCUGCUGAGCUACACGCCUAGGUCGACUUUUCACUACUACAAUAUCCUCCAUAUUGGGCACUAAAAUAUGUCGAUCAACACAAAACUCAAUCACCCUACUCAACAAAGUAUCCCAACCAUUCUCUCUCAGGUUCUGCAAUGCACACUUAUACAAAUUCAAUAACCUCAUAGCAUUUUGAGUAUCCUGAUCCUUUUUCUGUAAGGCUUGCGAAAGGUAGUCUGUAAUUGUAAGAAUUUCAAACAUAAAAUGGAGACUGAACACAAACUCAAAAUCUUGCAUAUUGUUCAUCUGUCUUCUGGCCGAAGAUUUUUGAUCUGAAUGUACGCCAUCUUCUAAUAUAUUCUCAAGAACAUCUAUAAUAGCAUUAAACGUAUUAAUGAAACGAGUAAUUGUCAGUAGAUGUGAGCCCCAUCUAGUAUCACCUGGGCGUACCAAACUCAUUUCUUAAAACUGACCACUUCCAUCAGUAAGUUUCCCAAUAUUAAGCUUCUCCAGAAUAUUAGAAUGAUAACUUGCUCGAAGAGUAUCUACACGCUUACAUGAUGCACCAACCAAAUUCACAAUAAUAGUAAGUAUGUCAAAAAAAUCACCAAUCAUACAAUUCCUACAUGCCACAGAUACAAUUGCCAACUGAAACUAGUGAGCGAAGCAAUGAAGGUACAUAGCAUGUGGGUUCUCUCUUAGAAUUAAAGCUUUCAACCCAUUGAACUCACCUGGCAUAUUACUUGCUCCAUCAUAGCCUUGACUUCUCAAGUUAGAUAUGCUCAACCCAUGUGUAGAAAAUAUUCCAUCAAUGGCAUGCUUCAGUGAUUGAGCACGAGUAUCAGUGACAUGUGACAUACCCAAAAAACGCUCCUUCACUUGCCCACUUUUGUCAACAAACCUCAAAACUACUGCCAUUUGUUCUUUCAUAGAAUUAUCACAAGCCUCAUCCACCAAAAUUGAAAACAACGAGUCACCUAUCUCAUUGAUAAUAGCCCUUGUUGUCUUUCGGCACAAUAAUUAACCAAAUCCUUUUGGAUGGUUGGUGAAGUCGUUUAGUCACUUCCAAAAGCAUUACUAAAUAAUACUUCUUUAAUUUCCUUACAACGAGCUGCAUACCAGUUCAACAAAUCAAUUAGAUUUCCUCUAUUAAGAGACUCUUUCGAUUCAUCGUGACCACGGAAUGACAAUCCUUGCAUCAAGAAGAGUCUAGUACAAUCUCGCACCGCAGUCAACCUGGUCCGAUAACUUUGUUGUUGACUACUACUUUGGCUAGAAAUAGCAUAGGAGAUACUUUGCUUUUGAUUCAUUAAGUUCGUACACUUUGCAAAAGCUUGAUUAUGAGCACUAUCAAAGAGACCGACAUGAUCUUUUAAUGUCUUUUUGUGCUUCCAAUCCCUAAAGUCGAUCUUAGUAAAUAUAUGUCCACCCCCUUGACCCCCUUUAUCGGGUUUGAACAAGUAGCAAUGCAAACAAUAUGCCGCAUCCUUUUCUAUAUUGUAUUCCAACCACUAAAAUUCGGAGAACCAUUCUUUUCGAAAAUAUCUAUUGUCAUUCCCCAUCGGUCUUCUUGAAAUAUCAUGUCCAUAUGGUUGAUAAGGACCCUUCUCCAAGUAUGCCAUCCUAACAUCAUCUCUGAUAUUAGGAUCAUAUGACUCGAUGGGGG
rnacentral:lncRNA from 1 species